UACGAAGGUGGCAAGCGUUGUUCGGAUUUACUGGGCGUACAGGGAGCGUAGGCGGUUGGAUAAGCCCUCCGUGAAAUCUCCAGGCUUAACCUGGAAAGUGCAGAGGGGACUGUUCAGCUAGAGGAUGGGAGAGGAGCGCGGAAUUCCCGGUGUAGCGGUGAAAUGCGUAGAGAUCGGGAGGAAGGCCGGUGGCGAAGGCGGGCGCUCUGGGAACAUUUCUGACGCUGAGGCUCGAAAGCGUGGGGGAGCAAACAGG
rnacentral:rRNA from 1 species